GGCGUAAGCAAACAGCAGAGCGGUCUGUCAAGUCGGAUGUGAAAUCCCCGGGCUUAACCUGGGAACUGCAUUCGAAACUGGCAGGCUAGAGUCUUGUAGAGGGGGGUAGAAUUCCAGGUGUAGCGGUGAAAUGCGUAGAGAUCUGGAGGAAUACCGGUGGCGAAGGCGGCCCCCUGGACAAAGACUGACGCUCAGGUGCGAAAGCGUGGGGAGCAAACAGGAUUAGAUACCCUGGUAGUCCACGCCGUAAACGAUGUCGACUUGGAGGUUGUUCCCUUGAGGAGUGGCUUCCGGAGCUAACGCGUUAAGUCGACCGCCUGGGGAGUACGGCCGCAAGGUUAAAACUCAAAUGAAUUGACGGGGGCCCGCACAAGCGGUGGAGCAUGUGGUUUAAUUCGAUGCAACGCGAAGAACCUUACCUACUCUUGACAUCCAGAGAACUUAGCAGAGAUGCUUUGGUGCCUUCGGGAACUCUGAGACAGGUGCUGCAUGGCUGUCGUCAGCUCGUGUUGUGAAAUGUUGGGUUAAGUCCCGCAACGAGCGCAACCCUUAUCCUUUGUUGCCAGCGGGUAAUGCCGGGGAACUCAAAGGAAACUGCCAGUGAUAAACUGGAAGGAAGGUGGGGGAUGACGUCAAGUCAUCAUGGCCCCUUACGAGUAGGGCUAACACACGUGCUAACAUGGGCGCAUACAAGAGAAGCGACCUCGCGAGGAGCAAGCGGACUCUCAUAAAGUGCGUCGUAAUCCGGGAUCGAAGUCUGGCAACUCGACUUCGGUGAAAGUCGGAA
rnacentral:rRNA from 1 species